ncrna:unclassified sequences S15-Flavobacteria ribosomal protein leader
UAUAUUUGCAUUCAAUUUAAUCAUACAUAAAAAUCAUUACAAAUAAUAUUGGCAUG